CUGUCACUCGCACGAAAUGGGCAACUUUCUCCCAGACGCCUGGCGAAGCCACCGCUUCCUCACCGUCUCCGCCUCGCUCAGGAGCAUCAAGGCCGACGAGGACUCGAAUACCAUAUAGAUCAACGUGGGAUUCCUCACCGAGACCUUUCCGUGGAAGCAUUUCAAGGAUGCCCCCGAUUGCCAGAAGAAGCUGUUGCAGAAGGCCUCUCCCUUGUGCACUCUGACUUAGCCAAUGUCGUCGCCCAUGUCUGUUUCUGUUAACCCUAGAUGGAAAGGGAAUAAAAUGACCCUAGAGGUGCUUUGUUGUUCACGUCACUGACUUGUUGAGGCGAGAAGUGACAGCUAGAGGUGACACUUUGACAUUUAUUUUAAUUGUUUAAAUCUUGAUGUUAUUUUUGCUUGUAGUUGUACAAUGCUAUUCCUAGUUAGAUGUAUGGUUUAUUCAUGCAUUAUUUAGUUUUCGAAGUUUUGAUUGACUUGUAAGUUGUUACAAUCAUAGGGUUAUGCCAGGUUGAGUGGUUGUUGUCAAUGUUGUUUUA